GAAUCAUUUUCUCCAGGUUACUAUGGAUGGUGAUUAUCACUGAGAGAGAGAGAGGGGGAGAGAGAAACGUUGUUACAAAGUAGUUUUAUACUCAAAUAGUGAUGGUUUUAAGCAGGAUGUGUAUAACAUCAACAAACACACAUAAAAAAAAGCUUACACAUGGUGAUGAUGUUUUAUAUGUUGGUGAUAAUUUGCUUGUUCUCCAAGAAUCAAUCAAUGGAAAUGGAAACAGUUUUUUUUUCUUUUCCUUCGAAUCAAUUUUUCGAACCAAAUAACAAAAUUGUACAGAACAGAUGAUCACUUUGGUAAUAAAUUGGGUAAAAUUUGUUGUUAAUUGUAAACCCAAAAUCUGGUUGUUGGGAAAGAAGCCAUUUUGUUUUCCUUUGUUGGAAAAAGAAAGAUAACAAAAACCAACGUUGGUAACACUUAUAUAAGUAAAUACACACAGGAGAACACACAGAGAAAGCAAGA